rnacentral:rRNA from 1 species
GACGGAAGGUGCAAGCGUUGCUCGGAAUCACUGGGCGUAAAGGGUGCGUAGGCGGCCGUGCAAGUCUGGCGUGAAAGCCCCGGGCUCAGCCCGGGAAGUGCGCUCGAAACUGCGCGGCUCGAGUGCCGGAGGGGAGAGUGGAAUUCCUGGUGUAGCGGUGAAAUGCGUAGAUAUCAGGAGGAAUACCGGUGGCGAAAGCGGGUCUCUGGGCAGUAACUGACGCUGAGGAGCGAAAGCGUGGGGAGCGAACAGG